UAGGGAAUCUUCCGCAAUGGGCGAAAGCUUGACGGAGCAACGCCGCGUGAGUGAUGAAGGUCUUCGGAUCGUAAAACUCUGUUAUUAGGGAAGAACAAAUGUGUAAGUAACUAUGCACGUCUUGACGGUACCUAAUCAGAAAGCCACGGCUAACUACGUGCCAGCAGCCGCGGUAAUACGUAGGUGGCAAGCGUUAUCCGGAAUUAUUGGGCGUAAAGCGCGCGUAGGCGGUUUUUUAAGUCUGAUGUGAAAGCCCACGGCUCAACCGUGGAGGGUCAUUGGAAACUGGAAAACUUGAGUGCAGAAGAGGAAAGUGAAAUUCCAUGUGUAGCGGUGAAAUGCGCAGAGAUAUGGAGGAACACCAGUGGCGAAGGCGACUUUCUGGUCUGUAACUGACGCUGAUGUGCGAAGGCGUGGGGAUCAAACAGG
rnacentral:rRNA from 1 species